AGUGAACGCUGGCGGUAGGCCUAACACAUGCAAGUCGAACGGCAGCACCGUAAGAGCUUGCUCUUACGGGUGGCGAGUGGCGGACGUGUGAGGAAUACAUCGGAAUCUACUUUUUCGGGGGGGUUAACGUAGGGAAACUUACGCUCAUACCGCAUACGACCUACGGGUGAAAGCAGGGGAUCUUCGGACCUUGCGCGGUUGAAUGAGCCGAUGUCGGAGUAGCUAGUGGGGGGGGUAAAGGCCCACCAAGGCGACGAUCCGUAGCUGGUCUGAGAGGAUGGUCAGCGACACUGGAACUGAGACACGGUCCAGACUCCUACGGGAGGCAGCAGUGGGGAAUAUUGGACAAUGGGCGCAAGCCUGAUACAGCCAUACCGCGUGGGUGAAGAAGGCCUUCGGGUUGUAAAGCCCUUUUGUUGGGAAAGAAAAGCAGCAGGUUAAUACCCCGCUGUUCUGACGGUACCCAAAGAAUAAGCACCGGCUAACUUCGUG
rnacentral:rRNA from 1 species